CCUGACUCCACAUACACUUCCCUCACUGCCACACCAGACCGCAGAAGAUCAGUGUAGUCUGUGUCCUACAUCACCUUUCUCAGCAUGGCCAGAUCCAGCUCAGCCCAGAACACCUGUAACUGGAUUAUGGCUGUCCUCACGUUGUGGUCUAUGAUCUCUCUGAUCGUCAUUGUGGUUUGGGUCACCUGGCCUCCGUUGGCUAGCCUUACACAAUGCAGAGCAGCACAUCAGGCCUUAAUUGAAAAGAUGGAGGGAGCUAAAGUGAUAAAGGAAAAGGAGCAAGAUGGCUUGAAAUCCACCCUGGAGCUGAGCUCUAAAAACCAGACCAGACUGCAAGAAGAGCUGGAAAGUAUUCUAGAGAGCCAGAGGGAAACCAACGCAUCUCUAACAGAGAGUCUGCAACUGCAAAUGAUCCUAAAGGAAAAUGUAACAGCUUUGGAAAAUCAAAGACUCAGGCACCACAGUGAACACGCAAGACUUUUUUCUGAGCUGGCUCAACAAGAGGCUCUUAUUGAGACUCUGUGGAUGAAUCUGACCAGUGAAUCGCAUCAUUUGGAUUCAUGUGCAGCUUUACGGAAUGCCGCAAACAGCCAGCAGGAGGCAGCAGAGAGUCAGAGGAAAGCCUGUGAAUCCAAAACAAAUUAUCUUGUCAAGAAAGUAGAGAACUGUAAGGUUAAUGGGUGAGGAACCGAAGACGUUCAAAACAACUGAAGAAAACUGACAACGACCACGAACAACUAUAGCAUAGCCUAAUAUUAUAUGGAAAGUGCUAUAAAGUAUACUAAUCUCCUUCAUAAUGAGAGAUUCUGAGAUAUUUUUAUGGUAGUGUGAAAUAAAUAAUGUUAUAAUAGUAGUAGUAGUAGGUUAGUAUUGUUGUUGUUGUGUGAAUAAAGUUGGGACAUGAAAAUAUUUGACUGAUUUUUUUAAAAGAUGUAUUUUUUAUG